CCUACGGGACGCAGCAGUGAGGAAUAUUGGUCAAUGGACGCGAGUCUGAACCAGCCAAGUAGCGUGAAGGAUGACUGUCCUAUGGAUUGUAAACUUCUUUUAUAUGGGAGUAAAAUGUUCCACGUGUGGCGUUUUGUAUGUACCAUAUGAAUAAGCAUCGGCUAACUCCGUGCCAGCAGCCGCGGUAAUACGGAGGAUCCGAGCGUUAUCCGGAUUUAUUGGGUUUAAAGGGAGCGUAGGUGG
rnacentral:rRNA from 1 species